rnacentral:rRNA from 1 species
UGUGAAUUGCAGAUUUUCAGUGAAUCAUUGAAUUUUUGAACGCCCCCUGCGCUCCUUGGUAUUUCGAGGAGCCUGCCUGUUUGAGUGUCAUGGAAUUUUCAACCGUGUCUCGAUUUGAUCUCGAGGCAUGGCUUGGACUUGGGAGUUGCUGGCGGGCCUCGUCAGCUCUCCUCAAACACAUUAGCGACGUUCAGCAAGCCUGACGUGCACGGCCUUUUUUCGACGUGAUAACGAUCGUCGUGGGCUGGAGCGUAGGGUGAGCGGUGAAUCGCUUCCAAUUCCUUAGACUUAUCAUGGUCUUUUCGAUCUCGAUCUUGAUGGGGGGGAAACUUUUGACCUUCGAGAGACCCGAGCCUUAGUUACUAGUCGGUCGUGAGGCCAACGAACGCAGGGCCUAGGUUUGAAACUUUGAAGCAAUCGCAAUUCCCUCUGUCUCGAUCCUGAAUC